ensembl:snoRNA
AUCCUUUUGUAGUUCAUAAGCAUGAUGAUUGGGUCUUCACGCGCAUGCGUGAGAUGUGCCUCCCUCAAACCUUGUUACGACAUCGGCACAUUACCCGUCUGACG